rnacentral:rRNA from 1 species
ACAGCUCAAAUUUGAAAGCUAGCCUUCGGGUUCGCAUUGUAAUUUGUAGAGGAUGAUUUGGGGAAGCCGCCUGUCUAAGUUCCUUGGAACAGGACGUCAUAGAGGGUGAGAAUCCCGUAUGUGACAGGAAAUGGCACCCUAUGUAAAUCUCCUUCGACGAGUCGAGUUGUUUGGGAAUGCAGCUCUAAAUGGGAGGUAAAUUUCUUCUAAAGCUAAAUAUUGGCGAGAGACCGAUAGCGCACAAGUAGAGUGAUCGAAAGAUGAAAAGCACUUUGGAAAGAGAGUUAAAAAGCACGUGAAAUUGUUGAAAGGGAAGCGCUUGCAAUCAGACUUGUUUAAACUGUUCGGCCGGUCUUCUGACCGGUUUACUCAGUUUGGACAGGCCAGCAUCAGUUUCGGCGGCCGGAUAAAGGCUCUGGGAAUGUGGCCUCCACUUCGGUGGAGGUGUUAUAGCCCAGGGUGUAAUACGGCCAGCCGGGACUGAGGUCCGCGCUUCGGCUAGGAUGCUGGCGUAAUGGUUGUAAGCGACCCGUCUU